GGAUAUGAGAGUAAUCUGGCUGCAACAUGUGUCACCCUGCUGAGCACCAGUGUUGAUCUGGCUGAUCUGGCUGACUCGGCGAAUGUCCUCUUUCUCCCUCACCACUCCAUGUGUGUUCCACCUGAAGGUGUGCACUCAGUUGAUGAGAAUGACCUUCCCCGAUAGAGGAGGACGAUUUUUCAGUCAAGGGUAUGUGAAGAGCUGAGCUCUGCUGCUGGAACCUCCAAACAAGCUCUCAAGGUCCAUUUGUAGAAGAAAUGUAGGGUGGGCAAACUUUCAAGGCUCCAGGCACAUCCAACUGAGGGUUGCAUGGGCAGUCUGCCUUU
rnacentral:snRNA from 1 species